UACGGGGGGGGCAAGCGUUGUUCGGAAUUACUGGGCGUAAAUGGCUCGUAGGUGGCCAACUAAGUCAGACGUGAAAUCCCUCAGCUUAACUGGGGAACUGCGUCUGAUACUGGAUGGCUUGAGUUUGGGAGAGGGACGCGGAAUUCCAGGUGUAGCGGUGAAAUGCGUAGAUAUCUGGAGGAACACCGGUGGCGAAGGCGGCGUCCUGGACCAACACUGACACUGAUGAGCGAAAGCCAGGGGAGCAAACGGG
rnacentral:rRNA from 1 species